rnacentral:rRNA from 1 species
AGCGAACGCUAGCGGCGGGCCUAACACAUGCAAGUCGAGCGGAGGGGCAACCCUCAGCGGCGAACGGGUGAGUAACACGUAGGUAAUGUACCCUCUGGUGGGGAAUAACCGUGGGAAACCAUGGCUAAUACCGCAUAUGUCUUUCGAGAUGAAAGCAGCAAUGCGCCAGAGGAGCAGCCUGCGGCCGAUUAUUUAGUCCUAGUUGGUGAGGUAAUGGCUCACCAAGGGUACGAUCGGUAGCUGGUCUGAGUGGAUGAUCAGCCACACUGGAACUGAGACACGGUCCAGACUCCUACGGGAGGCAGCAGUGGGGAAUAUUGCGCAAUGGGCGAAAGCCUGACGCAGCCACGCCGCGUGAGUGAUGAAGGCC